UGCCUGCCCUGUAAAGGUAAGUCUGUGUUUGUCAUCCUGGAAUGCUGCUCCCUGCUCAGUGCUCUGCCAAGGCAGCUCCAGCCCCCUCGAGGCACUCCUGAAGCUUAUGGUGGGUCUCUUCUUCUCAGGCUUCAGGGACCAGUGACAUCCACCUGCCUGAUGCCCAAAUAGAGAGAAGGGGCUAACUUUAUGACACGGGCAGCAUGGCAGGGCCAUGUGAACAAACACUGUCCCUCUGCAUGCACAAAGCAGUGUUUUACUGAACAUGCACCCCUGGAUUGACUCAGCUGAUGGGAGUGCGUUUCCCUGCCCCACUGACCUGCUCUGAGCCAGCUCCCUGAGGCUUUCCUCCACAUGGUCAAGAUGCCACAGAGACAGUUUCUAAGUAAAUAACUUGCUUCUUCACACAACCUACCAUCAGCAUCCCAACCAGAUGCCCCAGAUGGCUGGAGCGUCCAAGAUGGUACCUGGGUCGUGAAGGAAAGUGCCAAGUUGCAUGAAUAAUAGAAAUGGUGCGGCUGCAUCAUGGUAGAGCAAAUACUUUCCUUCUGCAGCUCCGGAUCCAGGCUGAAGAACUGCUGGAAACCACAAUGCAGCUUCCCCAUAUGCGGGUCCAUCAGAGCGGGCUGGUGUUCGGUGGCACUAAGGCUGGGGCGGAGGGGUCUGUGCUGGGGGGCUGCUGCCUCUGCAGUGAUGCAAAGCUCCUGCUCCUGUACAGCACCGUUUUCGUUUCACUGCCACCUGAUUGCAAGUUAAAACCAAAAGGUUAAAAACAUUUAAUUAUGCUGCUGCUUUCCCAGCAGAUUAAACAAGAGGAUAAAUAGACUACAGCAUGUUAUUUUGGAUUUGAUUUUGUUUUUUAAACAAGGGGAGGGAGGCGGGAGGCUGCGUCUCCUUGGCAGCUGUCACACACUUUGCUUUUGAUGGUGUCAGUUGUGUCUGUUAAGAGGUGUUUCUCUUGCCACUGUCAGCAUUUUCCGAGGGAGGCUGAAUUCAUUGAUACAGUCUGUUUGCUGUCCACAUAUUCACAGUUCAUGUGUUACAUUUUACAUAAAGUAAACUUAGCAAGGGGAAAACUAAUUCUGCAAUUCUUCAAAGCUAAUGCACAGUAAAUAUAUUCUGACACUGACAGGUAUUUCUUAUUAAAUAGCUCUGAACUGCAGUACUAGGUUUUGCUUAAGUGGCAUUAUUCUCCCCGAGCAAAGACAGUUCAUUUAUUAGUCAUUCUGAAAACCAAAUAACAAAUAUUAUUCUCUAAGCAAACUAAACAAACCAUUUAAAAGGGGCCUGUCUGAAAUGAUUAAAGUACAGUGUCUGAAAAGCAGCUGACAUUUUAGUGCCAAAAUACCAUAUGGAGACUCAAGUGCUUUAUUAACAUCCUUUGACCUAAGCUGCAAAAUCUCCCGACACCUUUGAGCACGGUGGAGCAGCCUUCUUGUGUGCGAGGGAGAGUGCGGAGGCAGAUCUUUCUGCCAGUUCUUAAGAUGUCAUUUUGGCACACGGAAGAGCGAGGUGCAAUAAUUGAGGGGCUGGAUGCGAGCAGAUUUCUUGCUUUCUGCCAGAGAUACGCCAUAAAAUAAUUCAGCGGAGCUGAAAGCGCGGGCUUGCCAUUUGUGCCAUAAAAAAUAAAUACAUUGUGUUUGUCUUGCCUUCUUACAGCUCUCCCUCUUUCUCUUAGCUAAAUAUUUCCUUUCUUCUGAGCAUCAGACAUUAUUCCUAGCUUUCAGGCAUGCAAAAUAAAAGAGUGUGUGCACUUA